rnacentral:lncRNA from 1 species
CCUCAUCGAGCCGCCCAUGCCACCUCGCCCCGAUCGGAGAGUAGUAGCAGACUGGUGCUAGAGGAACGGCUCACCCUAUUUUCUAAAAGGAGAUGAUGAGAGUCUAGUGGCGGAACCACCUCACCAUGUCUUGCCGAUAGUUCUCGCCUCAUAGUAGUCCCAUUGAACAAACCAUCGGCGGGCAUACUCCCCGAUAGAUCACCAUCAUCCACCC